rnacentral:rRNA from 1 species
GACGAACGCUGGCGGCGUGCCUAAUACAUGCAAGUAGAACGCUGAAGGAGGAGCUUGCUUCUCUGGAUGAGUUGCGAACGGGUGAGUAACGCGUAGGUAACCUGCCUGGUAGCGGGGGAUAACUAUUGGAAACGAUAGCUAAUACCGCAUAAAAUUGAUUAUCGCAUGAUAAUCCAUUGAAAGGUGCAAAUGCAUCACUACCAGAUGGACCUGCGUUGUAUUAGCUAGUUGGUGGGGUAACGGCUCACCAAGGCGACGAUACAUAGCCGACCUGAGAGGGUGAUCGGCCACACUGGGACUGAGACACGGCCCAGACUCCUACGGGAGGCAGCAGUAGGGAAUCUUCGGCAAUGGACGGAAGUCUGACCGAGCAACGCCGCGUGAGUGAAGAAGGUUUUCGGAUCGUAAAGCUCUGUUGUAAGAGAAGAACGAGUGUGAGAGUGGAAAGUUCACACUGUG